rnacentral:rRNA from 1 species
UACAGAGGGUGCAAGCGUUGUUCGGAAUUAUUGGGCGUAAAGGGAGUGUAGGCGGCAUUGCCAGUCUUCUGUGAAAUCUACGGGCUUACCCCGUAACGUGCAGAGGAUACUGCAAAGCUAGAGUGUCGGAGAGGAUAGUGGAAUUCCCGGUGUAGAGGUGAAAUUCGUAGAGAUCGGAAGGAACACCAGUGGCGAAGGCGACUGUCUGGCUGACAACUGACGCUGAGACUCGAAAGCAUGGGGAGCAAACAGG